AUUGAACGCUGGCGGCAGGCUUAACACAUGCAAGUCGAGCGGAGAUGAGGUGCUUGCACCUUAUCUUAGCGGCGGACGGGUGAGUAAUGCUUAGGAAUCUGCCUAUUAGUGGGGGACAACAUUCCGAAAGGAAUGCUAAUACCGCAUACGUCCUACGGGAGAAGGCAGGGGAUCUUCGGACCUUGCGCUAAUAGAUGAGCCUAAGUCGGAUUAGCUAGUUGGUGGGGUAAAGGCCUACCAAGGCGACGAUCUGUAGCGGGUCUGAGAGGAUGAUCCGCCACACUGGGACUGAGAGACGGCCCAGACGCCUACGGGAGGCAGCAGUGGGGAAUAUUGGACAAUGGGGGGAACCCUGAUCCAGCCAUGCCGCGUGUGUGAAGAAGGCCUUAUGGUUGUAAAGCACUUUAAGCGAGGAGGAGGCUACUGAGACUAAUACUCUUGGAUAGUGGACGUUACUCGCAGAAUAAGCACCGGCUAACUCUGUGCCAGCCGCCGCAGUAAAAC
rnacentral:rRNA from 1 species